AGGCCGAGUCGUCGGCGCUAGGCAGGCACUUGGUGCAUGACGUCACUACGCGAAACUCACGCUGCCUCGAAAACCCUUUACACACAGAACACUGCAAACAACACGUGGGUGCGGUGACACACGUGCAAGUGUGAAUAUUGAGCACACGGUGGUCGCCUUAAUCCGUUUAUUUUCGUGACUUUGUGUAUCAUCAAGACAACACGUGAGAAAUUAGUCUCUGAGGAAUCGCUGGCACACCUACGUGAAAUGGAUUUCAGCAAAGAGGUUUGGCAGGGAUGCAUGAGGAAAGUCAAGGAAACGUCGAAGAGUGGCACAUUAGAGACUCAACUUUAUUAGGGCCUGGCUAGUGGACUAUACCUCCAUAUAUAUGGCCCUACUCCUAAACUAGAAACAAGUGGAGGAAGGCUCAAAGAUUGGGAUAAAGCUCCCCGGCCGUGAACAGUAUCAGCCACAUACAGGUCUGCCUUGUAAUCGAAUGCGCCCUGUACACCUACAUUACAUUGGCACACUUAGAUGCUGGACCCCACACCUGCGUACCCACCUGACAGCUGGCAAUCUGGUAAGAGAUGACUGCAACGAUGGAGACAUGUAAGUCUGGAUAUGACAUCAUGCUCAGCACACGUACAUGUAAUUGGCACCUGCUAACAAUUCUGAUUUGAUCACAAUUAGGCAGCUGAGGUGGCUUCACCCUCCACCCAUGAAAGGGAAAUAGAAGAGGGGCAGAAUUUCUUUUGGGGGAGGGGGGCUGCGUGGAGUGGAAAGUGGUGGAAGGUGUUAUGAGUUUGUUUCUGCAUUCAAUUGGGGACCCUUAACAAUAGAGGACAAUAAGGUCCCCGAUUGGCAGA